AACUUAAUUAAAAAAUUUGCAAGUGCAAAUAGAAUCGACAUUAUACAAAUUGGUCACUACUUGAUUCCAAAAACCUAUGUUACAUGAAAACCACUCAUACCUAAAUAACAAUAAUAAACCUUCAAAACAAAAAUCAACUAUUCUCAAAGGACCCAAAAGAAAGAUUUUUAGCCUUCAAAAUCACAAUUCCUCUUGUUGUAUUGUUUUUGUGUCAAAAGCACAAUAAGUUGAAUAGUAGGCCCAUGCACAUGACUUUCCUCAUAAGACAAAAACACCAGUUUUUUAUAGGUUGAAAAAAUAAAUCAAAUAUCCUUAACUUUCAAUAACGCUUAGAAACAACUGAAACUUUUGCAUUAUCUCAAUCCACAAACAAAAUAGAAGACCUUUAUAUUUGCUUUAGGCACCUUAAGGAAUUCUAUGUAAAUUGUUUUCCUGCAAUGAAA
rnacentral:lncRNA from 1 species